rfam:Roseovarius sp. 22II1-1F6A contig4, whole genome shotgun sequence.
GCUGGAGAAAUGCGGAUUGUAAUUGAUGAAAGCGAAGCCGCGGCUUUGAUCGAUGGUGUGAAACAGCGGGUUCCAAGUGAAGAAGGCGAGGAUGUAGCCCGGCAUUGUAUUGGCCACGAACAUCUUGCCCGACGCGAUCAUGUUGGCGCGGCUG